rnacentral:rRNA from 1 species
AUUGAACGCUGGCGGCAGGCCUAACACAUGCAAGUCGGACGGUAGCACAGAGAGCUUGCUCUCGGGUGACGAGUGGCGGACGGGUGAGUAAUGUCUGGGAAACUGCCCGAUGGAGGGGGAUAACUACUGGAAACGGUAGCUAAUACCGCAUAACGUCUUCGGACCAAAGUGGGGGACCUUCGGGCCUCACACCAUCGGAUGUGCCCAGAUGGGAUUAGCUAGUAGGUGGGGUAAUGGCUCACCUAGGCGACGAUCCCUAGCUGGUCUGAGAGGAUGACCAGCCACACUGGAACUGAGACACGGUGCAGACUCCUACGGGAGGCAGCAGUGGGGAAUAUUGCACAAUGGGCGCAAGGCUGAUGCAGCCAUGCCGCGUGUAUGAAGAAGGACUUCGGGUUGUAAAGUACUUUCAGCGGGGAGGAAGGCGAUGGAGUUAAUAGCUUCAUCGAUUGACGUUACCCGCAGAGGAAGCACCGGCUAACUCCGUGCCAGCAGCCGCCGUAA